rnacentral:rRNA from 1 species
CUCUCGCAUCGAUGAAGAACGUAGCGAAAUGCGAUACUUGGUGUGAAUUGCAGAAUCCCGUGAACCAUCGAGUCUUUGAACGCAAGUUGCGCCCGAAGCCUUUAGGUCGAGGGCACGCCUGCCUGGGCGUCACGCAUCGCGUCUCCCCCCACCCCACCUCG